AUUGAACGCUGGCGGCAGGCCUAACACAUGCAAGUCGAACGAGAGGCGGACGGGUGAGUAAUGUCUGGGAAACUGCCCGAUGGGGGGGGGUAUCUACAGGAGACGGUAGCUAAUACAGCAUACCAUAGGAUGUGCCCCGAUGGGAUUAGCUAGUGGGUGGGGUAACGGCUCACCUAGGCGACGAUCCCUAGCUGGUCUGAGAGGAUGACAAGCCACACUGGAACUGAGACACGGUCCAGACUCCUACGGGAGGCAGCAGUGGGGAAUAUUGCACAAUGGGCGCAAGCCUGAUGCAGCCAUGCCGCGUGUAUGAAGAAGGCCUUCGGGUUGUAAAGUACUUUCAGCGGGGAGGCGUUACCCGCAGAAGAAGCACCGGCUAACUCCGUGCCAGCAGCCGCGGUAAUUC
rnacentral:rRNA from 1 species